rnacentral:snoRNA from 1 species
UAACACCUUCCCAGAUGGAAUCAUUUUCUUUAGUAAACAUCCCCAUACUGUGUUUCUCACGAAAGCCACAGAUUCCAACCUGGUUGAUGACUUAUCUCCUCGCUGCCCAAGAGUGAUACCUUUUUACUCUCGCUCUGCGCGCAAGCGUGGCGGUUUUGCUCUCGAAAGAGGCGGCUGUAUUAGAGAGUGGUGAUGAUCUUGUCCCGGUCUUGCCGUCUGCCUUUGGGCGCGUGGAUUGGGUGGGUGGUGACGGAUGUCUGACAGGC